UUCUUAUCAAGAGAGACGGAGGGAUUGGCCCGACGAUGUCUCAGCAACCAGCCUUUUUGGCCAUGGUGCUAAUUCCAAUAGGUUAACUACUUACCUAGAAGAUAAGGG
rnacentral:ncRNA from 1 species